rnacentral:rRNA from 1 species
UGGGGAAUCUUGCGCAAUGGGCGAAAGCCUGACGCAGCAACGCCGCGUGCGGGACGAAGGCCUUCGGGUCGUAAACCGCUUUCAGCAGGGACGAAAAUGACGGUACCUGCAGAAGAAGCCCCGGCCAACUACGUGCCAGCAGCCGCGGUAAUACGUAGGGGGCGAGCGUUGUCCGGAUUUAUUGGGCGUAAAGAGCUCGUAGGCGGUUUAGCAAGUUGGGUGUGAAAACUCCGGGCUCAACUCGGAGACGCCACUCAAUACUGUUAUGACUCGAGUCCGGUAGGGGAGUGCGGAAUUCCUGGUGUAGCGGUGAAAUGCGCAGAUAUCAGGAGGAACACCGGUGGCGAAGGCGGCACUCUGGGCCGGUACUGACGCUGAGGAGCGAAAGCGUGGGGAGCGAACAGGAUUAGAUACCCCCGUAGUCC